ACAGCUUGUCCACUGUAGUGACCACUAUGCAUGAAACGUUUCACCUGCGGCAGUGAUGUGCAGGUGUACUCCAGGGGGUGUGUCAGUACACCGUGACAUCACUGCUGGGUGUGGUUAAUGUAUGACGAGCCAAUCAGCUCAGCGGGCGCCUUAACGUGAAGUUAACACAUAUAAUUAUCAGGUGUUGACGUGUAUACAGCUGUGAUUUAUGGGAACUAGUCUAAUAGUCUUAUUGAGAUGAGCUCAGAAGUUGCUCUUCUGGGUCCUCCUGGUCUUCUUCUUGAUUUCUUGUUGUGAAGGACUAAAGUGUAAUUUGUGAAAUUCCUUUUUUUAACGCAGAGCUGCUGGUAUGAAGAAAGUGUUGGAGUUGAACUAGACGUCACUGAAAAACAAACGUAUGAUUCAAGAAGAGCGAGCUCGAGUGUUUCUCUGUAACAGCAGCAGAGAAACUACAGUUUUAAUGAAACUCCACAGAUGUGUUUAAAUCACUAAACUGUUGUUAAUGUGUACAGGUGUGAAGUCAUUAUACACAGCCAGCAUGUCACCACAACGUACGCCAUCAUCAUACCGAAGCUUUACUAGACGUGUUUAGGUGCACCCGGUGGCUCGCAGUGUUACUGGUUCAGCAGAGAACCAGUCUGACCAGCAGAGAUGUGACUUGUGAUCAAACUUCCAGUCAGAUCUGCUCCUCCUCUGCAUUAAACAUAAACACUGAAAACUUCUGGAAAUAAAGACAAAAAAUUACAAUAUUUACAUCUUUUGAAAACUAUCAAUAAGUCCAAUCAGACGCUGUUUAUUGAAACACAAUGAAUGAAUGAAAACAGAAUAACUGUGAAUGUUGCACAUCUCUGACUCUCUACACGUCCUUCAGAUUAGUUCUGCUCACUUCGUUACAGCGUCGGCUGAAACUGAGCGUUUUGCCCUUUUACAGAAUAUCUCUCUUCCAGAAGACAAUCUCUUUUUUUUUUCUCCUCCUCUCUCCUCAUGCAGAUGUUCAACCCUCCCACUGAUGAAUUCGCAAUUAUUGAUGGCUUCAUAUAAGCAGUGAACUUCUCCAAUCGGCCGGCAUGGUAAUUGUAAAGGAAGUCAUAUGCAUAAAAUUAAUUAUACGGCGCAAUAAGGCCCAUAAAUCAGGUCACUAUCAAUUCAGCUGAAAAUGUUUCAAGCGCACGCUCGUCCGCAGAGUUCAAGGUAAAAAAGGAAAGGAUUCCCCUUUUUUACCAAAUCAAGAAAGUAAUCUGUCAGAGAGGACAAAGACGUGUCUCACACAAAGGCUUUACUGAGAUAUGGGCUCCAUAUUUGGAACAAGAAAUGAGGUUUUCUUCAAUUGUGUUCUGCUUAAUCUUAUAAAUGGUGCAAUCAAAGAAGAGGUUGCUCUGUUUACUCUCUUUUUUUUGGGGAAUAAAAUAAGCAGCAGAAGCACCUACAAUUUCACUAGAAAGCCUUUAUGUGAUGCUAAAUGAUGUGGUAAAUGAAGCACUUUCUGAAAAAUGUAAAACUAAUUAUGCAAUUACUAAAAAUCACAGGACUGAAAUAUUUAUUGCUCUUCCAAAGGGCUGAAGAUCUUUUUGCUUCCUGCAGUGAGAGGUUGAGUGAUGGCUGCGAGAGUGGUGCAGGAACUAAUUCGAAAGAACAAUUACACGCGUUCAGUCCAUUUAUUUUCCAUCGGAUAAUUAUUUGAUGUAUUUAUUUUAAUGACAUUGUGUAAUUCAGUUCAUCUCAGGCUCUCGCUGGCUGCUAGCUUCAAUUACCGGCCAGUCAUUUAUAACUCCCCGAGGCUAAAAAGAAGGCCACGGCGUCACCGAGGAGCAGAUUAUUACACAUCCGCUGAGGCGUCGCGCCGCAGAUCCACACAGACGACGACGACAACUCUUCUGUUUGUGGAAGUCAGAAAAAUGAAGAAACGGCUCCUCUGAGGUCACAACGACGAGAUUAUUGAUCCAUGAGCAAAAAACUGUAAUUAGUGAGAUUUCUGUGCAGCACAUUUAUGUUGUCUCAUAAACUUCUUCGGUUUACAUGUCAAUAUUUGGGUAAUUUUAUGGAGUUUCUUGCAUUCGUCAGCAUAUUUAAUGAGAUUUUCACUGAAAAAUAUUGAAUAAAUCAAAUUUUUUGCGUAUACUUUUGAUAUUUAUCUACUACAGUUUUAAGAAAACUGAUGUCAAAACAUGUAAACUUCUUUGUAGAUUCCUGUUGUGACUUUUUAAUAAGUGCUGAACUUUAUGAGUUAUUAAGAUGUAAAGAUGAUCCCCAUUGAUUAUCAUUAUCAUAAUUCAGUCACUGUAUACAAUGCAAACUCCAUUAAUAUGUCAACGUACUCUGUAUUGUGCACUGAUUAAAUCAACAUAUGCUCAUUACGAUGACGUGUGCAGUUUAUGAGUUAUAUAAUACAUUAAAGUCUAUGGACGCCCAUUCACUCUCAUUGUAUUUAUACGUCAGCAAAUGUUUAUGUUAAAAACUUCAUUUAAAUUACACAAUAUACAAGUUCAUUAUGAUGAUUUGUACAAUUCACAUUGCAUAUAGCAGAAUGCAUUAAAGUCACUUCCAUUACAUUCAUAUUUCAGGACCUUUAUACAGUACAAAUUUAAUUAAUUUGAUGACAAAAAACUAUGUAUUUCACCCUGAUCAACUGUGAACAAGGUGAUUAUAAUGAUGAUAUGUAUAAUAAUUGAUAAUUAAAGUCUAUGGAAGCUCAGCAGAGUACAAACUCAUAAUAAGAUGCACAGUUUGUAAGUUAGGGGUUAAAUAUUGCAUUAAAGUCUACAGAGUUCCAUUCACUCCCAUUAUAUUUACAUCUCAGCCACUGCAUACUGUAUAAACUCCACUGAUAUAUCAAAAUAUUCUGUAUUACUAACUGAUUGACUGUAUAUGAUCUCAUUACGAUGAAAUAUAGAAGUUUUGAGUUAUACACUUUAAUAUACUAAAAGCUCCCAUUGACUUCCAGCCAAAACAUUAAGAUCAAUAAGUUUUUACAUCUUGUUAAUAAGAAUCACACACGUCUUCAGGAAAUUCUUCUCUCCUUAGUCUCUGUUCCUCUGAGUCAUUAAUGACGUAACUCUUGUAAUAAACGCACCACCGGAGUGAGAAGUUGUUGUCUGACAUGAGCCGCCUGUCACAUCACAAUAUCAUGUCUAACAAUAAUAUUAGUCUGACUGGACAAAUGUAGCCAUUAAAGACUAUUGAGGCUUAGCAGAUAACACAAACUGUGAGGUUCAGGGUCGAGGCUGCGGCUGGUAUUUUAACGAGGUGUCGCGGUACGGAGCCGUGCGGCUCGGCCUGAUAGCGCUGUGUUAGUAUUACAGACAGGAAUGUGAGGCUGAUUAGAACGUGUGAUGGGAGGAAGAGGAGGUGGAGUUCAUCCUGGAUGUCAUAACUUUAACGUGGGGUCAUUAAAGGCAGCAAGUUCUUGGCUGAUUUGACUUUAUUGCAGUUUUUCUGUAUAAACUAGAGAACAGAACUGACAUCAGGCCACAGUUACAGUCAGAUUAUCUGAAGGCUCAGACGCAAGAUCAGCCUCGUUAUAACAUCAGUGUUUACAAAGUGCAGAUUUACACAUUUACACGUUACAUAACUAAAACCAGUUGUUACGUAGAGAUGAGUUGUUACUAAAUAUUUACAGCUACUAAUAUGGAACAUCUGACCUGACACAGAAAAAACACAAAAUACCUGAAACAACUAAACCAGUAACGUUAGACUAACUGACCAAAUAACACCUGUUAGCUUAGCGUAUCUCACUGUAAUCUGCAUGAAUACUACUGAUGCUAAAACACACAUAUUUCUGCAGGUGUGCAGACAGAAAUAAAACUCCCACAUUCACAAAGGAUCAACAGCUCACUAUAUUUUAUCCAAAGCCUUCAUUUUUGGAAGUUAUGUUACAACUUGUGAUGCUACUGUUUACAUAUUUGGUUGCUUCUUAUUGGAUGUUUCCUCGCAACCGUUUUACAUAUUACCAAAGUGUUUACUAGAUAAGACAUUUAUUAAAGGAUGGGUCCAUUAUGUAUUUAUUUUUUAGGUUUUUAUAUCAUUCUGUAGUCUCCCGGUUGUAUCUCUAACCCACGUCUCUGUUUUUUGCUAACGGCUGAAUCAGCGUUUCCAUCUGAACAACCCAGAAACAAACACAGAUGUCGUCCUAUGAGUGAGGGCUGUGAUGUCGUUCUCUUCUCUGAGCAGUUUGUCUCGGUUUAAAGUUUUUCGUCAAACCUCAAAGUGACAUUCGCUCGUCCACGUGAAGCUCAGCGACGUCGUGACCGAAGAGGGAAAAUAAAGCUUGUUUGCUAACGGCGGCUAGCAAACUCGUUUGUUUUGCUUUGGUUUGAUUCAGUCAUUAAACAACCUGCACGUGACUUUUACACAUAUUCAAAAAACUAACAAACAAAAACAUUGAAGAAACACAAAAUGAUCAAACUGCACAUAAAACAAAGUGUUUUAGGAUCCAUAUUGUUCACUAAAGUUGAACUCAACACGAUAAAUCAAUGUGGAUCCAAUGAUUCAUCUCUGAUCGCCGUUAAAUGAGCCGUUUUACAAUCCCGGUGGUCUUUAGACCUGCACGUAUACAAAUUUUAAUAUUAAUUGGGCAUUUAUCAUAAUUGAAAAUAUUGGUAAAAAGUUGCACUAUUCUGUCAUUAUGUGUGAACUGUUCACACUGCUGAAGGAAAUCAGGCCAACAAGGAUACAUGACACUGAGAAGGCUGAACUUAAUAGAAUAAUGUGAUAAAGUGACAUUUAUUCACAGUUAUUAAAGUUAUUAAAUUACUUCAGUAAAUCAAAAUCAAUUUAAAGUUAAUAUGAAUCAAUAUUCCUUGUAAAUUAGGUUAUAUUAACAUUUUCUUACAACUUUUUCUGUAAAUUUGAGGAACUUAUUCAAUAUAUUUGAAUUUUAAUCAAAGUUUUCUUACUUUAAAUCUACUCAGUAAUUUAAUGCAUCACUUAAUUACCAUCAUUUUUUAAAUUAACCCUUUAUCGUGUUUUACGGUGUAGUUUACACAACAAACAGAGCUGGAUUUUUAAAUGAGGGAGUCACAGAAGAAGAAAUAUUUGCAGCUUUUAUUGUUUGUAUUUUGGGGAAAACUUUCCUAACAUGACCAGUCUGAACAUGUUUCUUACAGUCAAAAAGUCCUUUUUCCCAAAACAGCUGAAUGUAAAAGAGAAUCAUCUUAUAAUUCGAUCAAUAUAAUAAGUUGAUUGAUCCUUGUUGCUGAGGAGGACUCAGUCAGCUGUGAUGCUGCCUGUCAGCUCUGAAAAACCUUUUCUUUCAUAAAGAUUCAUGUCCAGUUCAUGAGCGGCUCCGUUUUGAGAAGUGAAUGAUGUUCUUCUCUUUUAUUAUUACAUUUGAAAUGUUUCUGGGUUAACAUGUAUGUUAAAGCUGCUAUUAAUCAAACAUGGCAGCCGUGUCAUUUGUCUCUCGGUGUCGAUAGCGGCGAGUCCCGGCUGCUGCUAUAAAAGCCACAAACACAUCAGCACUUUAAUUAAUGCAAUUAAAUGGAGCAACGAUUUCUCAGAGGCCACUGUCACAACUCUACUGACCCGCGAACCGAAGGGCCCCAAUAACCAGCACGUAUUUAUCAAAUGAGUGAAAAUAUGAACUAAGAAUCCUUCAUUUUACAAGUUUGACUUAACAGUAACAGAUCCUCUCGUUGAUCCUGGACACAGUUGCUGCUUUCUAGAAGCUGUUAUCCAAUCAAAUCUUUGAACUGAAUAUAAAGCGUGUGAAAAUUUAAACUACAAGCACAACAUACAUAAACUAACUUACAUGAUACAGGACUAGUGUGUCCUCCUGUACAAUUAACAUGACAUGAACAGAAAUAUGGAUUCAAUAAAAACAAACUGAAGCUGAAGGAAACUGAACUUGAACACGGAGGUAAACGGGUACAAAACACAUUAUUAGUAUCUCUUCUUGAUUAAUUCAGUUCAUUUGGUCUAUAAAAUGUUGUAAAAUGAAAAAAACACAGAUCACAGUUUCCUGAAUGUCUCGUUUUGUCCGACCAACUGUCCAAAAACCCCAAAUUAUUCAGUUCACGAUGAGAUAAAAUGUAAGAAAAGCUGCAAAUUCUCACAAUGGAGAAACUGCAACAAGGUAAAGAUUGUAAAUUUCACUUAAAAAAAUAACUUAUUGUCUCUUUAGGGACAAUAAAGUAUUAAUUUAUUAUUUUAUUUCCACAUGUGCAUCCUCCAACUCUCCAGUACAGGAAGCAGCAACUGCUUUGGUGACUGUAAUUAUAAAUAUAUCUGUAGUGUCAAUCAUGUCAAAGCUGUUUUCAGUUACUCCAGUUGUAGGAAUACAUCACAAAUAACAGAACCUGAUCUCUAUAUAAACCUGCGACGCUGAAUAAACAGUUGCACAAUUAACUGUUUGUAAUUACGGUGGUGUAAUAGAGCGCUGGCUGUCUGCAGAUCAGCACGUCCAUUUUUCACAGCAGCGACGGCGUAAUAAUGUUCCACAACAUAACGGUAACACUUGUUCCAAUAAAAGCGGCAGUUUUACACCAUGUUUUCAUAGUAAGCUUUUAUUUGACUGCUGUAACAGUGCUGUGAAUUCAUCAAAAAACCUUUACAACUCACAGUAACUCAUGAAUGUCUUCCCCCCUCCUAACAGCUGCACAGACUCUUAUAAAACGCUGCCGAGUCUCUGCUGUCUAAAAAUAUCACUGGUUUUUUCCUACGUUUGUCAGAAACGUUUUCUUUGCGAGGCGCUUUUGAUUUACAGGUCAGGACUCGUAUUUAUCAAACUGCUCAGAGAAGGAAAUCAGUCCAGUCGGCCAAAAAAAACUCUCAGAGCGACGUGUUUUUGGUCCGACUUUAAGUACGAGGAGUAAAAACAUUUCAUCAACUUUCUUAUCUUAAGAAAUCAACAUGUAGGAGUCUGAACCUGGUCGCAGCAGCUUUGAAACAGUGUUUCAGCAUCAUAAUAAAUCAAACUUAUGUUUGUCAUUAAAAGACUGGUUCACAAUUUUUCCAGUGUGUCUUAAAA